rnacentral:rRNA from 1 species
UACGUAGGGCGCAAGCGUUAUCCGGAAUUAUUGGGCGUAAAGAGCUCGUAGGCGGCUUGUCGCGUCGGAUGUGAAAGCCCGGGGCUUAACCCCGGGUCUGCAUUCGAUACGGGCAGACUAGAGUGCGGUAGGGGAGACUGGAAUUCCUGGUGUAGCGGUGAAAUGCGCAGAUAUCAGGAGGAACACCGGUGGCGAAGGCGGGUCUCUGGGCCGUAACUGACGCUGAGGAGCGAAAGCGUGGGGAGCGAACAGG